GGAGAUAUGGCUGAGUAGACGAUAGCGUUGGAUCACUAAUCCAUUGUACAAGCUUUUCAUACCGAGGGUUCAAAUCCCUCUCUUUUCG
rnacentral:tRNA from 1 species